rnacentral:rRNA from 1 species
UAGUCCACGCCGUAAACGAUGUCUACUAGCCGUUGGGGUACUUGAGACCUUAGUGGCGCAGCUAACGCACUAAGUAGACCGCCUGGGGAGUACGGCCGCAAGGUUAAAACUCAAAUGAAUUGACGGGGCCCGCACAAGCGGUGGAGCAUGUGGUUUAAUUCGAUGCAACGCGAAGAACCUUACCAGGUCUUGACAUCCUGAAAACUUUCUAGAGAUAGAUUGGUGCCUUCGGGAACUCUGUGACAGGUGCUGCAUGGCUGUCGUCAGCUCGUGUCGUGAGAUGUUGGGUUAAGUCCCGUAACGAGCGCAACCCUUGUCCUUAGUUGCCAGCACAUAAUGGUGGGAACUCUAAGGAGACUGCCGGUGACAAACCGGGAGGAAGGUGGGGACGACGUCAAGUCAUCAUGGGCCCUUACGACCUGGGGCUACACACGUGCUACAAUGGCUGGUACAAACGGGCUGCUAACUCGCGAGAGGGGAGCUAAUCCGAUAAAACC